rnacentral:hammerhead_ribozyme from 1 species
AUCCAGGUGACAAGUCCAAAAUAGGACGAAACGCGCAUCCUGGAU